AUACAGAGGGUGCGAGCGUUAAUCGGAAUUACUGGGCGUAAAGCGUGCGCAGGUGGUUUUGUAAGUCAGAUGUGAAAUCCCCGGGCUUAACCUGGGAACUGCGUUUGAAACUGCAAGGCUAGAGUGUGGCAGAGGGGGGUGGAAUUCCGCGUGUAGCAGUGAAAUGCGUAGAGAUGCGGAGGAACACCGAUGGCGAAGGCAGCCCCCUGGGUCAGCACUGACGCUCAGGCACGAAAGCAUGGGGAGCAAACAGGAUUAGAAACCCCAGUAGUCC
rnacentral:rRNA from 1 species